AGUGAACGCUGGCGGUAGGCCUAACACAUGCCAGUCGAACGGCAGCACAGUAAGAGCUUGCUCUUACGGGUGGCGAGUGGCGGACGGGUGAGGAAUACAUCGGAAUCUACUUUUUCGUGGGGGAUAACGUAGGGAAACUUACGCUAAUACCGCAUACGACCUACGGGUGAAAGCAGGGGAUCUUCGGACCUUGCGCGAUUGAAUGAGCCGAUGUCGGAUUAGCUAGUUGGCGUGGUAAAGGCCCGCCAAGGCGACGAUCCGUAGCUGGUCUGAGAGGAUGAUCAGCCACACUGGAACUGAGACACGGUCCAGACUCCUACGGGAGGCAGCAGUGGGGAAUAUUGGACAAUGGGCGCAAGCCUGAUCCAGCCAUACCGCGUGGGUGAAGAAGGCCUUCGGGUUGUAAAGCCCUUUUGUUGGGAAAGAAAAGCAGCAGGUUAAUACCCCGCUGUUCUGACGGUACCCAAAGAAUAAGCACCGGCUAACUUCGU
rnacentral:rRNA from 1 species